CACAGCGAAAAGUGAAACCUGUCGAGCAGCAGAGGAGCAACAAACUUUGGAUGUUGUGUUAACAAAGCGCAUCUGACAAAUCCUACUCAUUGUGGCAUAAAGAAACCAAAGACGCUGCCUCGAUUGCUACAGUCUGACACUUUCAUCCAUUUCUGUGGAUACCUGGACAAAGGCUUUCCAGUCCAAAUGGGACAAUGACAGCUUGUGUAGGCACACAGCACAAGCAGUUCACAUCGGGGAACAAUGAGGGACAGCUUUGCAAGGCGGAGGAUCGUCUGGAGCCUGGAAAUGUGAUGACAAAGCUGCAAGGGCUGGAGACUGAAGACUUCCCUUCAAGAAGAAGUCAUAUGACAAGACUACGGAAAAACAGCUGGCCCAAUCUUCAUGAAGUUUUGUGGAAGGGUGUGGCAUGUGUAAAGGGAGAAACCAUUGGAUAGGGAACAAAAACAUUUGGAAUUUUCUAAACAAUGCGAGAUAGGGCUUGGUCAGCUCAUUGAGUUCCCUUCAAGUUGAAAUUGAUUUUGAACUGGAUGCUAAUUAAAUACAAAAGUCAUACAAAAUUGGAUUCAUGAUCAAAACGCUUCAUCAAAUUGAACUGUCAAUAUUUCUAUUGGUUUAGAUUGCAUUCAUACUACUGCCACUUGAAUGGACUUUUUAACCAUUUGGCUAUAGCUUAUUUUUUAAACUGCGUUUGUAUUACUUUAAGCCAUUUAUGGGAACCUCUGUUACUUUUAGCACACUGUUCAUAUUUCUCCAUUCGCGUUCAGGUGUUAUAAGUGACACAGUAUCAGAGUUGAUGCAUUUUUAAGAGAAUUGAUUGUUUUUACAAAUAUGUUGAAAUAUUUUACAAUCCCUGUUCCUCUGGCAACUGGAUAUGAAUCUCCUGAUGUCCAAGUGCACCUGGCUGUUAAUCUGCUGUAGUCUUAUUACAAUUAUCCAUCAUCUGAAGGCCUACAUCUGACCGUCAGUACAUUCACACAACUUCUUGCUUCAAGAAACCCAACAAAGGCUAGAGAGGCAUAGAUAUUUGAAACUAGUCUGAAUAAACAAUGUGACGUUUCUUUAUGUAUCUUGGCAGCACUACAUGUAUCUUCGAAAUGUAGGACAAUAUUAACUGUGUUAUAAAAUGAAAGCCUCUGUGUGUUGUGCUGGAAGUCAUAAUUCUAGUCAGGAAAAAUACAGACUGUUUUCCUGUCAAUAAAAAGGAGGAUGUGAAA